rnacentral:tRNA from 1 species
GUCCCUGUAGCGCAAUAGAUAGCGUGUUGGAUUUCUAAUCCAAAGGUAAUGGGUUCGAAUCCAAACUGGGAUG